rnacentral:rRNA from 1 species
AUUGAACGCUGGCGGCAUGCCUUACACAUGCAAGUCGAACGGUAACGCGGGGCAACCUGGCGACGAGUGGCGAACGGGUGAGUAAUACAUCGGAACGUGCCCAGUAGUGGGGGAUAGCCCGGCGAAAGCCGGAUUAAUACCGCAUACGACCUAAGGGUGAAAGCGGGGGAUCGCAAGACCUCGCGCUAUUGGAGCGGCCGAUGUCAGAUUAGCUAGUUGGUGGGGUAAAAGCCCACCAAGGCGACGAUCUGUAGCUGGUCUGAGAGGACGACCAGCCACACUGGGACUGAGACACGGCCCAGACUCCUACGGGAGGCAGCAGUGGGGAAUUUUGGACAAUGGGGGCAACCCUGAUCCAGCAAUGCCGCGUGCAGGAAGGAGGCCUUCGGGUUGUAAACUGCUUUUGUACGGAACGAAACGGUCUGGGUUAAUACCCUGGGCUAAUGACGGUACCGUAAGAAUAAGCACCGGCUAACUACGUGCCAGCCGCCGCGGUAAAAC